rnacentral:rRNA from 1 species
CCCUUAGAUGUUCUGGGCCGCACGCGCGCUACACUGAUGCAUUCAACGAGUCUAAAACCUGCUCUGAUAGGGGUGGGUAAUCUUUUGAAUGUGCAUCGUGAUUGGGAUAGAUGAUUGCAAUUUUUCAUCUUCAACGAGGAAUGCCUAGUAAACGCAAGUCAUCAGCUUGCAUUGAUUACGUCCCUGCCCUUUGUACACACCGCCCGUCGCUCCUACCGAUUGAAUGAUCCGAUGAAUAUCAUGGAUUGAGGAUGCAAGCAGGUUCGCCUGUCUUCAUCUUCGAGUAGUGAAGUAAAUCUUAUCAUUUAGAGGAAGGAGAAGCCGUAACA